ensembl:lncRNA
AUGGGAAUUCUUUGGGAAUUCUGCCAUCCCAGAAGGAGAACCGGAAUAUCCCGGAAAUAUCCCUCGGAGAAUAUCCCGCUGGGAGGAGGGACCCGUCCCCGUGGAUUCCCGGUUUUCCUAAAUGGGCUCCAUCUGGAGGAGGGGUUGUUCCCACUCCCGGACCACCCAGGACAACCCCGUCAGCAAUUCCAAGGCUCCGAACACAUGGAAAAAUUCCAGAAUAAUAAAAGAAGUCCCUCGGAUAACAAAGGAGGAGGGAAAACAUCCCUUGGAGUGAGAAUUUUCCCCAGGGCCCUGUUCCCACUGGGAUCUGAGGAGCUUUUCCUUCUCGGCUGGAAGGCUUCCAGAGCCAGGAUUCCCACUUUUCCAGCUGCUAUCCAGCCGAAUAUUCCAGCUGUGCUCCAGUCCUCCCGCUUCCAGGGGGAAAGAGUUUGGGAAGAGCGCCCCGCUUGUGUCCCAAAGCAAUUCCAAAGCAUGGAUCUGCUGUGGGGCUGCUGGGAUUUCUCCUCCCUGGAAUCCCAGCCGCCCUUUUCCCAAUGGGAAUGGAAAAGGCUGGAAAAAACUCAGGGAUUGCAUCCUCGCUUGACAUCCAGCAAAAAUCCUUGGAGCUGCUCGGAACACCUGGAGCAGCUCCCUCCCACCUGGCAGAGACCUCCUGGAAUCUUGCCUUGGAUUUUAUCUGGAGAGAUACGGAAUUCCUGGAUUGGCUCCGGCUUGUUCUGAUCCCCCCCUCUCCCUCCUCCUCCAGCUUUAGCCUGGAAGCGGCUCCAAGGUUGGAAAAACGGGAAAAGCGGGAGGCAAGGAUGGAAAAUGCCAGUCUGGAAUCCGGACUCCAAGGAAGCAAUUCCCUGCUCCCGUGAAAAGGAGGGAGAUGCCUGGAAGGAACGGGAUAUUUGGGAUGGGAGCUGCUCCUUCCUUCCUUCCCUCUUUUCCAUCUGGGUGGGCGUUCAGCCGCUCCAUGGAAAAAAAAAAUCAUGGAACGGUUUCAGCUGGGUCUUAAUUCCUCCUCUCAUUCCAUGGGCAGGGACAGCUCCCGCUAUCCCGGGGUUCUCCGAGCUGGCCUUGGACAAUUCCCGGGAUCCUGGGGACCCUCUGGGAAUCUGUGCCGGGGCCUGCCCGCCCUCCCAGGGGAUAUUCCCGGUAUUCCAUCCCAGCCUGCUCCCUGCCAGGGGGAGCCGUUCCCCUUCCCUCGGGAAUAAUCUCUCCCGGUUUUUCCUCCUGGAACGGCACAGCUGGACCGUCCUGAAGGGCUGAGCAAUCCCAAAGUCCCGGUUUUUCCUGCCGGCAGUGCUGCUCCAUCCCUCUGAUUAUCCCGGUGCCUCCUCUGGAUUUGCUCCAAGGGCUCCACGUCCUUCCUGUGCCGGGAGCCAGAGCUGGAUGCAGAAUUCCAGCCGGGAUCUCCCUGGAGCAGAGGAGCAGGGACGUGAAAACCCAAACAAUUCCUUUCCCUGCCCUCUGGGAUUCCGCUCCCAUUAAACCCCCGCUAAUUCCCAAAAUUUCAUGGAACAGAAGGUCUCCAAGAGCCUUCCCAGAGCUUCCCAUUCCAGCUCCAUGCCCUUGGGAUGUCUCCAGAGGGAGCCGAGUUCCUCCAAUUCUUUUCCCGCACAGGUGUCCCCCCCUCCGGCUCCAUUGUCCCUCAUCCCAAUCCCGGGAUUUGCCGCCGCUGACGUCACCCAUUCCACGCCCUUUUCCUUCUUCAACCUCAGACUUUGCCUUUUUUUUUUAACCGAUUCCUUCAUUUCCAGAAAUUCCCGUUUUUUUUUUUUUUUAAUUGGUUUUAAUUAAUCAUCUUGGAUCUUCCCUUGGGCGGGAAUUCCGCUCUCCAGGAGACAGCCGGGAUCAGAUUCCUAUGGAAAACAGGAGGUUCUGGAUGCCUUCAGCCGAGGGGGGCUGGGAAAGAAAAUCCUUGCAAAACUGGGAGCCAGGACUUGGAUUUUCCAUGGGAGCCAUCCAAGAAAAUUCAAGGAGCGUGGAACAUCCAAUAAAAAAAUCCUAAAAAAUAUUCCCA